rnacentral:rRNA from 1 species
AUUGAACGCUGGCGGCAGGCCUAACACAUGCAUGUCGAGCGGAUGAAGGGAGCUUGCUCCUGGAUUCAGCGGCGGACGGGUGAGUAAUGCCUAGGAAUCUGCCUGGUAGUGGGGGAUAACGUCCGGAAACGGGCGCUAAUACCGCAUACGUCCUGAGGGAGAAGGUGGGGGAUCUUCGGACCUCACGCUAUCAGAUGAGCCUAGGUCGGAUUAGCUAGUUGGUGGGGUAAAGGCCUACCAAGGCGACGAUCCGUAACUGGUCUGAGAGGAUGAUCAGUCACACUGGAACUGAGACACGGUCCAGACUCCUACGGGAGGCAGCAGUGGGGAAUAUUGGACAAUGGGCGAAAGCCUGAUCCAGCCAUGCCGCGUGUGUGAAGAAGGUCUUCGGAUUGUAAAGCACUUUAAGUUGGGAGGAAGGGCAGUAAGUUAAUACCUUGCUGUUUUGACGUUACCAACAGAAUAAGCACCGGCUAACUUCGUG